UCUUCCAGAUUUUGCAGACCUGUUGGUGCUGAAUGUAAGAGGUCUUCCGGAUCUGAUUGUUACGUUUUUUAGUAAAAGCAACACAGAAUAGACAAAAUGUACAUUGAAGAUGUCAGUUUCUACAUGUGGGAAGUAGACAUUGAAGGCUUUAUGGUUUACAGACAAGAUCUUUAGAAGUUAAGCACUAAAGGACCAAGAAAAUAAAUACCAGAAAUCAACAAGAGCACAGACUGUUUCCCUUCAUCAAUCCGUAGAGCCCUACUACUUCUUUAGUUCCAUCAAACACAGAGGAAUGACCACCAUGGCAGAUGGCAACAGAGGAUGUCAACAAUUUU